UACGUAGGCAGCGAGCGUUGUUCGGAAUUACUGGGCGUAAAGAGUGUGUAGGCGGUGCUCUAAGUUCGGUGUGAAAUCUCCUGGCUCAACUGGGAGGGUGCGCCGGAAACUGGAGUGCUUGAGCGUGGGAGAGGAAAGCGGAAUUCCUGGUGUAGCGGUGAAAUGCGCAGAUAUCAGGAGGAACACCGAUGGCGAAGGCAGGUCUCUGGGCGAUUAAACUGACGCUGGAGGAGCGAAAGCCGUGGGGAGCGAACAGG
rnacentral:rRNA from 1 species